CGGAUCCAGAGCCUGAUCUCGAGAGGGGCACUUGUAGAUUAUUUAAAUAAAUAAUCCAGGCACAAUAACCACUACAGCUCAGUGUAGUAGUUAUGGUGUCAGUAGUGCCAGGAUCCCACCCCAGAGUAAGUAGUCAUACCGUUUAAGAACAGUUUGACAACUUACCUGGGGUCUGCUGGGAUAUAGGGUAUAGGAGCAGUGGUGUGUGUUAAGGGUGAAGUGUGUGAGUGCGGCAGUGUAUGUCAGGGACAGUGUUUGUGGGGCAGUGUGUG